AUAGCUCUUACUCUACUUCUGUUGCGGUUUCCUUCUCUUCCUUCCUCGAAAACUCCUUCUUCUUUUUCUUUCUUCUUCUUCUGAGUUUCUUCUGUUCUGUUUCGGAUCUUCUUGGUGACGCCGUUCUCCGUUGAUUGCAGGUGCAAUGAAUCGAACCCGGGGAUGAGGCCAAGCUCCACCGGUUAAAGCCUCAAGGAGAGAGCUUUGAUGGCUGUGAGAAUCGAGCUCUAAAUGAGAGGUUUAAGGGGGAGAAUGAGGGAGAAGACUCGAAGUGAAUUGAGGAAGAAGACUCGAAGUGAAAAUGAGCAACCCCACCCCAAGUGAAAUGAGGUUGUAUGGUGAGCAGGAACUUAUUAAACUGCUUUCAUGAUGAUCGGUUGACGGCUAAUAUGACCAACAUCAGCAGACCUAGAACGGACUUCUUGGCCAAGUCUUUUAAUCCACGAAAUCCAUCCACAUGAUUUAUGCUUCUUCAACUUAAUAAAGCAGCCAUUGAUACUUCUCUGGGGUACCUAAUGCAACCGAUUUUCCAGCGGUUUCGUGGGAUAUGCUGAACGGCACACCUUUCAUGACGGCAUAGUCAGCAAAUGUAGCUUUGAAAUCGAUGGUUAAUUUGAUAGCUAUAAGAGCUUGUUAUAGAUUAGAGGUUAAUGAUGUUUGCCUUUAAAAUACACUGCUUGUUUGGUUUUGAAUACUCAUUAAUUUUGUUGUAAAUAACUCCCAUAGCACUUAUGGAAACUGAUGAAUUUGUACUAGCGAUUUCAAUGGUUAAUGAUGGAAAUUUGUUGAGUUUA